GCUCUCUCGUCGCUAGGCGUCCGAUUCGAGAUGAGUUCGAAAAGCACAAAUCCAAUCCUUCGGUAUUCGGCUUUUCCGCUCGUCUCUGAGGAUAACUCUGGUUCAUCAGAAAGUGAAGCCUAAAACCUACUAUAAAUCUGUCAAAUUUUCUCUACUUGAUUGCACCAUAUCUCACUGGUACUAUUACAUGGGCCACGGCCUCCUUCAAAAAUGGUUUUAAUAUUAUUUAAUGACUGUACAACAAUUUAAACUUUAAGCAACUCUCCCUCUAUGCUAUACUUUGAAACUCCAUACAAAAAUGACCAAAAUGUAUCAAAUUCAGUCCUAAAAAUAAAUUCUUAUUAACUUAU